rnacentral:rRNA from 1 species
GACGUAGGGAGCGAGCGUUGUCCGGAUUCAUUGGGCGUAAAGAGCGCGCAGGCGGUUUGGUAAGUCGGAUGUGAAAACCCGGGGCUCAACCCCGGGCGUGCAUCUCGAUACUGCCCGACUAGAGGUAGGUAGGGGAGAUCGGAAUUCCUGGUGUAGCGGUGAAAUGCGCAGAUAUCAGGAGGAACACCGAUGGCGAAGGCAGGUCUCUGGGCCACUACUGACGCUGAGAAGCGAAAGCAUGGGGAGCGAACAGG